rnacentral:rRNA from 1 species
CACGGAGUUAGCCGGUGCUUAUUCAUUGGGUACCUUCAGCUCUCUACACGUAAAGAGGUUUAUUCCCCAAUAAAAGCAGUUUACAAUCCAUAGGACCGUCUUCCUGCACGCGGCAUGGCUGGUUCAGGCUUGCGCCCAUUGACCAAUAUUCCUCACUGCUGCCUCCCGUAGGAGUCUGGUCCGUGUCUCAGUACCAGUGUGGGGGACCACCCUCUCAGGCCCCCUACCCAUCGUCGCCUUGGUGAGCCGUUACCUCACCAACUAGCUAAUGGGACGCAUGCCCAUCUUAUACCGUAGCCUUUAAUUAUCAAACCAUGCGAUCCAAUAAUACUAUGGGGGAUUAAUCCGAAUUUCUCCGGGCUAUACCCCAGUAUAAGGUAGGUUGCAUACGCGUUACGCACCCGUGCGCCGGUCGUCAGCAUCUAAGCAAGCUUAAAUCUGCUACCCCUCGACUUGCAUGUGUUAGGCCUGCCGCUAGCGUUCAUCCUGAGCCAGGAUCAAAC